UUUUGGACAAUGGGGGCAACCCUGAUCCAGCCAUGCCGCGUGGGUGAAGAAGGCCUUCGGGUUGUAAAGCCCUUUCGGCGGGGACGAAAUCGCGGGGGUGAGAAGCCUUCGUGGAUGACGGUACUCGCAGAAGAAGCACCAGCUAACUACGUGCCAGCAGCCGCGGUAAUACGUAGGGUGCGAGCGUUAAUCGGAAUUACUGGGCGUAAAGCGUGCGCAGGCGGCCCUUUAAGUCAGGUGUGAAAGCCCUGGGCUUAACCUAGGAAUGGCGCUUGAAACUGGGGGGCUAGAGUGCGGCAGAGGGGGGUGGAAUUCCUGGUGUAGCGGUGAAAUGCGUAGAGAUCAGGAGGAACACCGAUGGCGAAGGCAGCCCCCUGGGUCGACACUGACGCUCAGGCACAAA
rnacentral:rRNA from 1 species